rnacentral:rRNA from 1 species
ACACAGGUGGUCGGGUAGAGAAUACCAAGGCGCUUGAGAGAACUCGGGUGAAGGAACUAGGCAAAAUGGCACCGUAACUUCGGGAGAAGGUGCGCCGGCUAGGGUGAAGGAUUUACUCCGUAAGCUCUGGCUGGUCGAAGAUACCAGGCCGCUGCGACUGUUUAUUAAAAACACAGCACUCUGCAAACACGAAAGUGGACGUAUAGGGUGUGACGCCUGCCCGGUGCCGGAAGGUUAAUUGAUGGGGUUAGCGCAAGCGAAGCUCUUGAUCGAAGCCCCGGUAAACGGCGGCCGUAACUAUAACGGUCCUAAGGUAGCGAAAUUCCUUGUCGGGUAAGUUCCGACCUGCACGAAUGGCGUAACGAUGGCGGCGCUGUCUCCACCCGAGACUCAGUGAAAUUGAAAUCGCUGUGAAGAUGCAGUGUAUCCGCGGCUAGACGGAAAGACCCCGUGAACCUUUACUGUAGCUUUGCACUGGACUUUGAGCCUGCUUGUGUAGGAUAGGUGGGAGGCUUUGAAGCGUGGACGCCAGUUCGCGUGGAGCCAUCCUUGAAAUACCACCCUGGCAUGCUUGAGGUUCUAACUCUGGUCCGUGAUCCGGAUCGAGGACAGUGUAUGGUGGGCAGUUUGACUGGGGCGGUCUCCUCCUAAAGAGUAACGGAGGAGUACGAAGGUGCGCUCAGACCGGUCGGAAAUCGGUCGCAGAGUAUAAAGGCAAAAGCGCGCUUGACUGCGAGACAGACACGUCGAGCAGGUACGAAAGUAGGUCUUAGUGAUCCGGUGGUUCUGUAUGGAAGGGCCAUCGCUCAACGGAUAAAAGGUACUCCGGGGAUAACAGGCUGAUACCGCCCAAGAGUUCAUAUCGACGGCGGUGUUUGGCACCUCGAUGUCGGCUCAUCACAUCCUGGGGCUGAAGCCGGUCCCAAGGGUAUGGCUGUUCGCCAUUUAAAGUGGUACGCGAGCUGGGUUUAGAACGUCGUGAGACAGUUCGGUCCCUAUCUGCCGUGGACGUUUGAGAUUUGAGAGGGGCUGCUCCUAGUACGAGAGGACCGGAGUGGACGAACCUCUGGUGUUCCGGUUGUCACGCCAGUGGCAUUGCCGGGUAGCUAUGUUCGGAAAAGAUAACCGCUGAAAGCAUCUAAGCGGGAAACUUGCCUCAAGAUGAGAUCUCACUGGGAACUUGAUUCCCCUGAAGGGCCGUCGAAGACUACGACGUUGAUAGGCUGGGUGUGUAAGCGUUGUGAGGCGUUGAGCUAACCAGUACUAAUUGCCCGUGAGGCUUGACCAU